rnacentral:tRNA from 1 species
GCCGGUGUGGCGGAAUGGUAGACGCGCUAGUCUUAGGAACUAGUGUCCGUUAGGGCGUGGGGGUUCGAGUCCCUCCACCGGCA